rnacentral:rRNA from 1 species
AAUGAACGUUGGCGGCGUGGAUUAGGCAUGCAAGUCGAGCGAGAAUCCCCCGCAAGGGGGAGGACAGCGGCAAACGGGUAGUAAUGCGUAGGUGACGUGCCCUCAGGUCUGGGAUAGCCACGGGAAACUGUGAUUAAUACCAGAUGAUCUCUUUGGGAGUAGCAGCCUGAAGAGCAAAGGUGUGAUUCCGCCGGAGGAGCGGCUUGGGUGGUAUUAGCUAGUUGGUGAGGUAAUGGCUCACCAAGGCAAAGAUGCCUAGGGGGUGUGAGAGCACGACCCCCACCACUGGGACUGAGAUACUGCCCAGACACCUACGGGUGGCUGCAGUCGAGAAUCUUCGGCAAUGGGCGCAAGCCUGACCGAGCGACGCCGCGUGCGGGAUGAAGGCCUUCGGGUUGUAAACCGCUGUCAGAGGGGAUGAAAUUCCGGAGGGCAAUCUCUCCGGAUUGACAAAGCCUCAGAGGAAGCACGGGCUAAGUUCGUGCCAGCAGCCGCCGUAAAAC